rnacentral:rRNA from 1 species
CACGUAGUUAGCCGUGGCUUUCUGAUUAGGUACCGUCAAGAUGUGCACAGUUACUUACACAUAUGUUCUUCCCUAAUAACAGAGUUUUACAAUCCGAAGACCUUCAUCACUCACGCGGCGUUGCUCCGUCAGGCUUUCGCCCAUUGCGGAAGAUUCCCUACUGCUGCCUCCCGUAGGAGUCUGGACCGUGUCUCAGUUCCAGUGUGGCCGAUCACCCUCUCAGGUCGGCUAUGCAUCGUUGCCUUGGUAAGCCGUUACCUUACCAACUAGCUAAUGCAGCGCGGAUCCAUCUAUAAGUGACAGCAAGACCGUCUUUCACUUUUGAACCAUGCGGUUACAAAAUAUUAUCCGGUAUUAGCUUCCGGUUUCCCGAAGUUACUCCCUAGUCUUAUACGGUAGGUUAUCCGAGUGUUACUCACCCGUCCGCCGCUAACAUCAGAGAGCAAGCUUCUCGUUCGUUCGCUCGGAUUGCAUUGUAUUAGGCACCGCCGCCGAGUCGUUCAUCCGU